rnacentral:misc_RNA from 1 species
AAGGAGUCUAACAUAUGUGCGAGUGUUUGGGUGUCAAACCCGAACGCGUAAUGAAAGUGAACGUAGGAACGAUCCGCAAGGAGCAGUUUCGACCGAUCUGGAUCUUUUGUGAUGGAUUUGAGUAAGAGCAUAUAUGCUGGGACCCGAAAGAUGGUGAACUAUGCCUGAAUAGGGCGAAGCCAGGGGAAACUCUGGUGGAGGCUCGUAGCGAUUCUGACGUGCAAAUCGAUCGUCAAAUUUGGGUAUAGGGGCGAAAGACUAAUCGAACCAUCUAGUAGCUGGUUCCUGC